GCUCCCCAAAUCCCUUUCCCAUUGGAUCUGAACACUGGUCUUGGUGGUUGGAAAGGAGGAAAAGUAAUGUUGAAGCUGGUCUCACAGCUGUAUAGUCUGGUAUGUAGUGUGUGUGCUAGUUUCAAAGAGGG
rnacentral:snoRNA from 1 species